UCCCAGACUCCUACGGGAGGCAGCAGUGAGGAAUAUUGGUCAAUGGCCGGGAGGCUGAACCAGCCAAGUCGCGUGAGGGAAGACUGCCCUAUGGGUUGUAAACCUCUUUUGUCAGGGAGCAACGCCGGCUACGUGUAGCCGGACUGAGAGUACCUGAAGAAAAAGCAUCGGCUAACUCCGUGCCAGCAGCCGCGGUAAUACGGAGGAUGCGAGCGUUAUCCGGAUUUAUUGGGUUUAAAGGGUGCGUAGGCGGUCCGUUAAGCCAGCGGUAAAAUUGCGGGGCUCAACCCCGUCGAGCCGUUGAAACUGGCAGACUUGAGUUGGCGAGAAGUACGCGGAAUGCGCGGUGUAGCGGUGAAAUGCAUAGAUAUCGCGCAGAACUCCGAUUGCGAAGGCAGCGUACCGGCGCCAGACUGACGCUGAGGCACGAAAGCGUGGGGAUCGAACAGGAUUAGAUACCCCGGUAGG
rnacentral:rRNA from 1 species